UCAUUGACUGAUCAGGUAUAUAAACAUGUAAACUUCUAGAGGAUACAUAUCACUUCUAACUGUAAACUCCAACCAACUGCAAAGAUGACUUUCGCAUCAGCUGUCAUCGUGGCACUUGCUUCCGUUCUGGCAUUCGUCGAUUUGACGGUUGCCAAACCUGAGCCGCAGCAUAAAGGAAACCACUCCUCCUGGCGGCACUAGCUACCUCUCUGGUAUUGGUCAAUUGCACGAAUGGCGAACCUGAACCAGAACCUACUAUAAUAGUUAAAAAUAAAAGGUUACUAAUGUUACCUGAAAGUAGUUUGUGACCAUUAAAAUAAAUAAAUCUGUAAUAAAAUAAAA